UACGAAGGGGGCGAGCGUUGUUCGGAUUUACUGGGCGUAAAGGGCGCGUAGGCGGCCGCUCAAGUCAGGCGUGAAAGCCCCGGGCUUAACCUGGGAAUUGCGUCUGGGACUGAGUGGCUAGAGUUCGGGAGAGGGGAGUGGAAUUCCCAGUGUAGAGGUGAAAUUCGUAGAUAUUGGGAAGAACACCGGUGGCGAAGGCGGCUCUCUGGACCAAUACUGACGCUGAGGCGCGAAAGCGUGGGGAGCAAACAGG
rnacentral:rRNA from 1 species